rnacentral:rRNA from 1 species
CCCUUAGAUGUUCUGGGCCGCACACGCGCUACACUGAAGGAGGCAGCGUGUACUCCUGGAUCGAAAGAUUUGGGUAACCCGCGAAUCUCCUUCGUGCUAGGGAUUGAGGUUUGCAAUUAUCCUUCAUGAACGAGGAAUUCCCAGUAAGUGCAAGUCAUAAGCUUGCGCUGACUACGUCCCUGCCCUUUGUACACACCGCCCGUCGCUACUACCGAUUGAAUGAUUUAGUGAGGACUUCGGACUGGGACCGUUGCGGCUUUCGGGCUGCGUCGGUAUUCUGGAAAGAUGUCCAAACUGUAUCAUUUAGAGGAAGUAAAAGUCGUAACA